GGAGAGGUAACUCAGUGGUUGGGUUCAUGUUUUGCAUACAUGAGGCCCUGGGUUCAAUUCCCAGCAUUACAA
rnacentral:tRNA from 1 species